UUCCAGACUCCUACGGGAGGCAGCAGUGAGGAAUAUUGGUCAAUGGGCUUACGCCUGAACCAGCCAAGUCGCGUGAGGGAAGACUGCCCUAUGGGUUGUAAACCUCUUUUGUCAGGGAGCAAUUGGCGCUACGUGUAGCGUUAUCGAGAGUACCUGAAGAAAAAGCAUCGGCUAACUCCGUGCCAGCAGCCGCGGUAAUACGGAGGAUGCGAGCGUUAUCCGGAUUUAUUGGGUUUAAAGGGUGCGUAGGCGGAAUGCCAAGUCAGCGGUAAAAUGUCCGGGCUCAACCCGGGCCGGCCGUUGAAACUGGGGAUCUUGAGUGGGCGAGAAGUAUGCGGAAUGCGUGGUGUAGCGGUGAAAUGCAUAGAUAUCACGCAGAACUCCGAUUGCGAAGGCAGCAUACCGGCGCCCGACUGACGCUGAGGCACGAAAGCGUGGGGAUCGAACAGGAUUAGAUACCCCGGUA
rnacentral:rRNA from 1 species